rnacentral:rRNA from 1 species
AGAGUUUGAUCCUGGCUCAGGACGAACGCUGGCGGCGUGCCUAAUACAUGCAAGUCGAGCGGACAGAUGGGAGCUUGCUCCCUGAAGUCAGCGGCGGACGGGUGAGUAACACGUGGGCAACCUGCCUGUAAGACUGGGAUAGCUCCGGGAAACCGGGGCUAAUACCGGAUGAUUCUUUCCCUCACAUGAGGGAAAGCUGAAAGAUGGUUUCGGCUAUCACUUACAUAUGGGCCCGCGGCGCAUUAGCUAGUUGGUGAGGUAACGGCUCACCAAGGCGACGAUGCGUAGCCGACCUGAGAGGGUGAUCGGCCACACUGGGACUGAGACACGGCCCAGACUCCUACGGGAGGCAGCAGUAGGGAAUCUUCCGCAAUGGACGAAAGUCUGACGGAGCAACGCCGCGUGAGUGAUGAAGGUUUUCGGAUCGUAAAACUCUGUUGUUAGGGAAGAACAAGUACCGGAGUAACUGCCGGUACCUUGACGGUACCUAACCAGAAAGCCACGGCUAACUACGUGCCAACAGCCGCGGUAAUACGUAGGUGGCAAGCGUUGUCCGGAAUUAUUGGGCGUAAAGCGCGCGCAGGCGGUUCCUUAAGUCUGAUGUGAAAGUCCCCGGCUCAACCGGGGAGGGUCAUUGGAAACUGGGCGAACUUGAGUGCAACAGACAAGAGUGCAAUUCCACGCGUAGCGGUGAACUGCGUCGAGAUGUGGAAGGAACACCUGUGGCGAAGGCCACUCUUUGGCUCUGUACCUGACGCUGAAGGCGCGAAAGCGUGUGGGAGCACACAGGAAUUAGAUACCCUGCUAUUCCACACCGCAUACGAUGACUGCUCACUCGCUUUACGGUUCCGCCCGUCAGGGCUGCAGCAAAUGCAUUA